GCGUAUAUUAAAGUUGUUGCAGUUAAAAAGCUCGUAGUCGGAUUUCGGGUCGGGCCGAGCGGUCUGCCGAUGGGUAUGCACUGUUCGGCGCGGCCUUCUUUCCGGAGACCGCGGCUACUCUUAACUGAGCGGGCGUGGGAGACGGAUCGUUUACUUUGAAAAAAUCAGAGUGUUUCAAGCAGGCAGCUCGCUCUUGCAUGGAUUAGCAUGGGAUAAUGAAAUAGGACUCUGGUGCUAUUUUGUUGGUUUCGAACACCGUAGUAAUGAUUAACAGGGACAGUCAGGGGCACUCGUAUUCCGUCGAGAGAGGUGAAAUUCUCAGACCAAUGGAAGACGAACCACUGCGAAAGCAUUUGCCAGGGAUGUUUUCACUGA
rnacentral:rRNA from 1 species